AAUUGGAGAUACUACAAUGGAAAACAAAUUCUCCAAUUGCCUGAGUCAAAAGCUUUCCGGAAAGAGAAGAUUGCUAUGGUGAUCAUUGUUGUGGUUUGCCGGGAACCGUCAGAUAACAGCAUUCCACACCAUCAUUGCACCUGGCCAUGGGUUCUUUUUGCCUCAGGUUUUUGAACAUUCAGACAGAGCUUAGCCGUGCCUCCCCUACUUCCUGAUGGACCCUUUCAUUAUUUCCUUCCAUUACAAAACCUUGGGAAUUUCUGUUUUGCCAGAAGAUUCUGAGGGGUAUCCAAUAUCCUUUACUAAAAUCCUCUCCUGCUGAUGCCUAGCAGAGCUGGGGUUAUCACUUACAACUAAGAACUCCGACUGAUAUGGUUCUGAGGUCCAAUCUAACUGGAAAGUAAAGAAAGAGUUCAUCAUAUAACUGCUGUUGAGAAACAAAGACUGUGCCCUUGGACUGCAUUGUUGGAAAUCUGAGCAUGGUAGCACAGACAUAUUAUCACUUACAAUUUCUACAGAGAAGAAAUUUGAGAGUCAGAGACAAAGUGAACUGCCCAGAAAGACAAAAUUCACUGCCACAGAGGUAGAGGUGGACUGGCAUUCAGCAUUCUUGUGUCUUGAACUCUCCUUCCCUCUACAGUAAUGUUCUCAACCAUCCGGACUCCUGGUGUUCUCAAGCCACCCAUUUCUCUUACUUUGGCAAAACUUCCUCAUUAUUAUGAAACGUGAAAGAUAAAAAUGAGAAAAAUCACAUGAAAUCUGCUCUCGGCUUAACAAAUAACAAGGCCCAUUCUAACCUGUGUGCUUCUGGCAUCAGUCACACAAACGGAAACUGAUCUGACUGUAAGAAGGGGCCAAGGAUGAAGGAGCGAAAAGAGCGCCUUUUCUCAACACUGGUUUGAAAGUAAAAGUUGAAAGGGGAAAGACGCCUGACUCAGCGCUCCGGCAACCCCCUGCCGGGCUGUGCUGCUGACCGCGCCCCUCGCCCAGCAGGACUGCGGCUGCGGCUGCCCCGGGAGCGACCCGGCUCCGCAGCCCAGCUACGGGGUCAGCGCGAGAGCAGCACGCCGAGAGCCGGCGGGCUGCCUCCGGCCCCUCCCCGGCAGAGGCCCCAGGAGCGCCUCCGCCUCGCGCGCAUGCCCAGCCGGAGGGCGCCCGCGGAGCCGCGCGCCCGGCCCGGAUCCCCG
rnacentral:lncRNA from 1 species